rnacentral:rRNA from 1 species
UACGUAGGGGGCAAGCGUUGUCCGGAUUUAUUGGGCGUAAAGAGCUCGUAGGUGGUUCGGUAAGUCGGAUGUGGAAUCUCCAGGCUCAACCUGGAGGGGUCAUUCGAUACUGCCGUGACUAGAGGUCGGUAGGGGAGUGUGGAAUUCCUGGUGGAGCGGUGAAAUGCGCAGAUAUCAGGAGGAACACCCGUAGCGAAGGCGGCACUCUGGGCCGAUACUGACACUGAGGAGCGAAAGCGUGGGGAGCGAACAGG